GAUGAGCGCUGGCGGCGUGCCUAAUACAUGCAAGUCGAGCGAACGGACGAGAAGCUUGCUUCUCUGAUGUUAGCGGCGGACGGGUGAGUAACACGUGGAUAACCUACCUAUAAGACUGGGAUAACUUCGGGAAACCGGAGCUAAUACCGGAUAAUAUUUUGAACCGCAUGGUUCAAAAGUGAAAGACGGUCUUGCUGUCACUUAUAGAUGGAUCCGCGCUGCAUUAGCUAGUUGGUAAGGUAACGGCUUACCAAGGCAACGAUGCAUAGCCGACCUGAGAGGGUGAUCGGCCACACUGGAACUGAGACACGGUCCAGGCUCCUACGGGAGGCAGCAGUAGGGAAUCUUCCGCAAUGGGCGAAAGCCUGACGGAGCAACGCCGCGUGAGUGAUGAAGGUCUUCGGAUCGUAAAACUCUGUUAUUAGGGAAGAACAUAUGUGUAAGUAACUGUGCACAUCUUGACGGUACCUAAUCAGAAAGCCACGGCUAACUACGUG
rnacentral:rRNA from 1 species